UUAGUUUACCAGCACGUUAUGUGGGCACUCUAAGGAGGACUGCCGGUGGACAAACCGGAGGAAGGUGGGGAUGACGUCAAGUCAUCAUGGCCCUUACGGCCUGGGCUACACACGUGCUACAAUGGUCGGUACAAAGGGUUGCCAAGCCGCGAGGUGGAGCUAAUCCCAUAAAACCGAUCGUAGUCCGGAUCGCAGUCUGCAACUCGACUGCGUGAAGUCGGAAUCGCUAGUAAUCGUGAAUCAGAAUGUCACGGUGAAUACGUUCCCGGGCCUU
rnacentral:rRNA from 1 species